CCAGGUUGACCUCGGAUCAGGUAGGGAUACCCGCUGAAC
rnacentral:rRNA from 1 species